AAUAACAAAACCAAGCAAAUCCAAUAGCCAAAAGCCAAUUGCAACUGCAACAAGCAACAACAACAAAAAAACAGCAACUGCAACAACAACAACACGCGAUAUACAAAAGUGACAUAAGAAAAGUGCGAAUAGAAAAUAACGGAAUUUGUUUUUACUGUUGCCAGUGGCGCACGGGCGUCAUGUGACUCCACUAAAACAACAAUUAAAACAUGUUUACAACAACAAUAACAACAACAACAACAACAAUGCAGCAUUAGGCAGGCGAAAUGCGGCGCCAAGCAAACAAUAUUUGAUUCGUUCAAGAAAAUGCAAAACAAAACUUUACAACAACAACAACAGAACAGAAGGGAGCAACAACAGCAACAACAAAUGCGCCAACAGCAGCAACAACAACAACAACAACAACGACGACAAUAAUAAUUUAAAGAACAACAAGAAGAAAUCAAAGCAAACAUCAGCCAGUGAGCGCAUAUAAAAGUCUGUCUCCCUCCAACCAAUAGAUGGCAAUAAAAUAACUGUGCGUGUGUGUGAUUUUUCUUUCUUUUUUUUUGGUGCGAAUCAACGAGGCUGUUAUCGAUAACGAUUAGUGCGAUAGACGCGCGAGUGGAGUGUGCGCCGGCAAAGUGAACGCGGAGCGAGUGAAUUUUUUGUUUGUUUUUUGUUUGGUUCAUUGCUGAGGCACGCACACAACUGCAGACAGUCGGGGCACACAGGCACACGCGCGCCGUGUGUGGGUGUGUGUGCGUGUCGGAUGUGUAGGCUGAACGCAGCAGCACGGGUAAACAUGGAUUGGACUCGGUGGCAAGACGCUAAAGCCAGAGACAGUGCUGGCAGUAGCAGCAACAUCAGCAGCAGCAACAUCAACAGCAGCAACAACAUCAGCGGCAACAUCAACAGCAGCACCAA